ACGUACAAGCAGUGGGAGCCUCUUUGUGGGGUGACUGCGUACCUUUUGUAUAAUGGGUCAGCGACUUAUAUUCUGUAGCAAGGUUAACCGAAUAGGGGAGCCGGAGGGAAACCGAGUCUUAACUGGGCGUUAAGUUGCAGGGUAUAGACCCGAAACCCGGUGAUCUAGCCAUGGGCAGGUUGAAGGUUGGGUAACACUAACUGGAGGACCGAACCGACUAAUGUUGAAAAAUUAGCGGAUGACCUGUGGCUGGGGGUGAAAGGCCAAUCAAACCGGGAGAUAGCUGGUUCUCCCCGAAAGCUAUUUAGGUAGCGCCUCGUGAAUUCAUCUCCGGGGGUAGAGCACUGUUUCGGCAAGGGGGUCAUCCCGACUUACCAACCCGAUGCAAAC
rnacentral:rRNA from 1 species